UACGGAGGAUGCGAGCGUUAUCCGGAUUUAUUGGGUUUAAAGGGUGCGCAGGCGGAUCGUUAAGUCAGUGGUCAAAUUGAGGGGCUCAACCCCUUCCCGCCAUUGAAACUGGCGAUCUUGAGUGGAAGAGAAGUAUGCGGAAUGCGUGGUGUAGCGGUGAAAUGCAUAGAUAUCACGCAGAACCCCGAUUGCGAAGGCAGCAUGCCGGCUUCCGACUGACGCUGAAGCACGAAAGCGUGGGGAUCGAACAGG
rnacentral:rRNA from 1 species